CAAAAAGAAGAAGAACAACAACAAAAACUCAAAGAAGAACAAACUACAAACAGCAAACAACUUUCUUCUCUCUUCUUUCUUCUCUCUUCUACUUCUCUUCUCUUCUCUUCUCUUCUCUCUCUCAACAUGGAUCCUGACGCGUUUACCAAAACUGUUUUAAAAGAAGGAAGUGGUUCUUUCCCACAAGAAGGAAGAGAAGUCUCUGUUCAUUUUGUUGGCAAAUAUCUCGAAAAUGAUAAGG
rnacentral:ribozyme from 13 species